ensembl:snRNA U6 U6 spliceosomal RNA
GAUAUUUCCCACUCAUAUACUAAAAUUGGAACGAUACAGAGAAGAUUAGCAUGUCCCCUGCGCAAGGAUGACAUUCUUUAUUUUUUAAAUGGCCUUCCUUUCU